ACACGACGCUCUUCCGAUCUCCAUGUAUGGGAAAGGUGAAAAGUACCCCGGGAGGGGAGUGAAACAGUCUCUGAAACCAUGCGCCUACGAACCGUCGGGGCCCUCUUGUGGGGUGACGGCGUGCCUAUCGAAAAAUGAGUCUGCGAGUCAGUGGCAUGUGGCGAGCAUAACCCGUGUGGGGUAUGCGUAGCGAAGGCGAGUCUUAAAAGGCGUUUAAAGUCGCGUGUCCUGGACCCGAAGCGGGAUGAUCUAGCCCUGAGCAGGUUGAAGCGCGGGUAAGACCGUGUGGAGGACCGAACCCACCUGGGUUGAAAACCGGGGGGAUGACUUGGGGCUAGGGGUGAAAGGCCAAUCAAAUUCCGUGAUAGCUGGUUCUCUCCGAAAUGCAUUUAGGUGCAGCGUCGGAUCGAUUACAUCCGGGGGGUAGAGCGACUGGAUGCUUGCGGGCCCAUAUCGGGUACCAACAGCAACCAAACUCCGAAUACCCGUGAUGCGUAUCCCGGCAGUGAGUCGGCGGGGGAUAAGCUCCGUCGUCGAAAGGGAAACAGCCCAGAUCGUCGUCUAAGGUCCCCAAGCGUGUGCUAAGUGGGAAAGGAUGUGGAGUCGCAUAGACAGCCAGGAGGUUGGCUCAGAAGCAGCCACCCUUGAAAGAGUGCGUAACAGCUCACUGGUCUAGUGGUUCCGCGCCGACAAUGUAGCGGGGCUCAAGCACACCACCGAAGACGCGGCAGUAGCUUUGCUACUGGGUAGGAGAGCGUCCCAUGCGGGGCGAAGCGGCGGCGCAAGCCCGCCGUGGACCGCAUGGGAGUGAGAAUGCAGACAUGAGUAGCGAAAGACGGGUGAAGAUCCCGUCCGCUGGACGACCAAGGGUUCCAGGGCCACGUUCAUCGUCCCUGGGUGAGUCGGGUCCUAAGGCGAGGCCGACAGGCGUAGUCGAAUGGACGAACGGGUCGAUAUUCCCGUACCGGCAUGCAACCGGCAAAACCGAAUCCGCGAGUACUAACCUCCGGGUCCGGGCUCACGUCUCCUUCGGGAGCCGGAUGCCCUGGCCUGUUGGGACCGUAACGGUAGUAGGUCAGCGCGGGAGUGACGCAGAAGGGUAGCCGGCCGCGGAGGUGGUCUUCCGUGGUCAAGCACGCAGCCCGUCCCACAGGCAAAUCCGUGGGGCGCGUGGGCGAGGUGCGAUGAUGGGCGCCGCAGGGCGCGAUAUCCGGUGAUCCCGGCUGCCGAGAAAAGCUUCGGCGUGAGGCGGCAUGCCGCCCGUACCCCAAACCGACACUGGUGGUCAGGUAGAGAAUACCAAAGCGAUCGAGCGAAUCCUGGUCAAGGAACUCGGCAAAUCACUCCCGUUCCUUCGGUUUAAGGGAGACCCCCGAUGGUGAAGCGGCUUGCCCGCGGAGCUUUUGGGGGUGGCACAGACCAGGGGGUAGCGACUGUUUACCAAAAACACAGGAGCGUGCGAAGGCGCAAGCCGCUGUAUACGCUCUGACGCCUGCCCGGUGCCGGAAGGUUAAGAGGAUCCGUCAGGCCUCGGCCGAAGCGGUGAAUUCAAGCCCCGGUAAACGGCGGUGGUAACUAUAACCAUCCUAAGGUAGCGAAAUUCCUUGUCGGGUAAGUUCCGACCUGCACGAAUGGCGUA
rnacentral:rRNA from 1 species